GAUAGUUAUAGGGAUUGACCGCCGGCGCAGUCGAGGCGUUUCGGCGUUCGGGCACGA
rnacentral:sRNA from 1 species